rnacentral:lncRNA from 1 species
AGUGCAGUGGGACCACAGUGCUGCAGAACCACCAAUGCAGCGGAACCACAGUGCAUCGGGACCACAAAUGCAGUGGGACCACAGUGCAUCGGGACCACAAGUGCAGCAGGACCACCAGUGCAGCGGGACCACCAGUUCAGGCCCACCACCCUGGGAAGCCUUUUGUUUAUCACAGCCAUUACUCAAUAGCAGGAAUAAUUAACCAGUGCUUUGCUCUUUGGGGAUUACACAGCUAACCAUCCAUAACCCACAUGAGGUUGUUCUCUCUGCAAAUCAGUUCCAGCACGAUUUUUGAAAGGAAGGAGUGACUAUGACAGAAGAGAUGGAGUGGGUGGCGCUGAAGGGAAGGCGAGCAGGCAUGCCGGUGUCGAUAGAGGACAUUCCACCACUGUAAUAAUUACCAUGUUAUGAUUGGUCUACCUUUCAUUUUGUAUUCCUGGUUUUAAUUUCUAGAGUACUUUUUCUUUCUUGUAAGCUAUAAUUUCCCCCUUGUGUGGAGGGUUUUUUCCAAAAUAUGUUCAUGAAAUUAGAUUUUCAUUUUUCUGCAUACGUCAUUCAUACUCAAUUUAUUGAACAGUUUCUCCUUCUGUUCCAAAGAUUUUUGUUUCAGUCUGAUGUUUAUGUAAUAUCUUGGUAAUUUUCUCAAAUUCUUGAUGAAUUAAAAAAUGCUCCUAUAGAUAGGAGGAUUCCUAUCUAUAAAAUAUGCUCAGAAUUGCGCACUAUCUGUUGCAUGAGUUGGUUUCUCCACACGAGCCACGCUAUUUAUCUAUUCACAGUGAACACAAGUAAUGGUGGCAGGAGUCUGGGCAUGGUGACUCAGAGCCACACUGGCCAGGUUUCAAGGUCUUUGCCCAUGGUGGCACUUUACACCGCCCUGCAUGAUAAGGCUCCUGACUUUGAUCCUUAUGAUUAGAUGCCAUUUGCCAAAAUGCCCUUAGAGCUGUGCUUAUAAGACUGAGUUUCCUUCCCACUUAGUUUGCUUUUUAUACACAUAUACAUUUUAAAUCUAGGUCCCACCCAUGAGAGAAAACAUUGCUCUCCUUAGUCUGGCUUAUUUCACGUAACGUGAUGAUUUCUAGUCAUGUCCAAACAUCAUGACGUCAUGAUUCCUUUUUUGUUUUUUUCUAGAUGUAUAUGAUUAUACUGUGACUGUCUUCAGACACACCAGAAGAGGGCAGGGGAUCACAUACAGAUGGUUGUGAGCCACCAAGUGGUUGCUGAGAAUUGAACUCAGGACCUCUGGAACAACAGUCAGUGCUCUAAACUGCUGAGCUAUCUCUCCAGCCCCGAUGCCAUUUUUCCUUGUGGCUGUAUAAAAUCCCAUUGUCUGCUGUAUGAUGUUUUCCUUGUCAGGUCAUCUACUGACAGACAUCUAGGUUGGUUCCUUUCCCUGGCCACCAAAUAGCAAUAAACAAGGCUAUAUGUUUAAUAAUAAACAAUAAACAAG